rnacentral:rRNA from 1 species
GACGAACGCUGGCGGCGUGCCUAAUACAUGCAAGUAGAACGCAGUUGCGAACGGGUGAGUAACGCGUAGGUAACUGCCUCAUAGCGGGGGAUAACUAUUGGAAACGAUAGCUAAUACCGCAUACUGUGAGAUGGACCUGCGUUGUAUUAGCUAGUUUGUGAGGUAAAGGCUCACCAAGGCGAAGGUACAUAGCCGACCUGGGAGGGGUGUCGGCCAACAUGGGAAUGAGAACAGGCCCAGAACCCUACUGGAGGCAGCAGUAGGGAAAUUUCGGGCAUGGACCGAAGUCUGAACGGGGCACGCCGCGGUGGUGAAGAAGGUUUUUGGAUCGUAAAGCCCUGUUGUUAGAGGAGCGGUAACUAACCAGAAAGGGACGGCUAACUACGUGCCAGCAGCCGCGGUAAUAC